rnacentral:lncRNA from 1 species
UUCAAAGCUCACGGUGUGCCAGGGGCCUGCCAAAUGCUCUCUGUGUGCUAUAUCCCACCUUAAACCUCACCAGGACCUGUGAGGUCACUCCUGUGAUGGUCGUCAUUGCCAGAUGGGGAAGCUAAGUCACAGGCUAGAUGUCCACCAACAGGGCUUGUCUGGACAAACCGGGAAUGAGGCACACAAGGGACACUACAGCCAGAGAGGAUUAUGAAACAAGCUGAGAUCACAUGUCAAGUGAGCAGCCAGGAGCAGGACAGUGAGUGCAGGGCACGGCCACUGAGCAUGACUGCACCAAACACUGAUGCUCAGAGAUGCUCCCAAGGAUGGGACCUGGGGUGAUGAGUAUGUCCUAGACUAUCUAGCCAGUGAACCCUGUGGAUCCUCCCUGUCUCUGCCCCCUCAGUGAGAGGAUUACAGGUGGCCACUACACCUGGCAUUUUUACAUUUGUACUGGGCAUCAAAUUCAAGUUUUCAGGCUUUCAAGUGAGGCAAGUGCUUUACCUCCUCGGCCCUAGAAUGGAGUCUUUUUAUACCUGCUUUUCUGUCCUCCUGGAUUUUGAACAAGAACACAUUACUACUUUAAAUAAAUACAUGCACAAAUGAACAAUUGUACCCAUGACAGUAAAGCAUUUGCAUAGAGAGAAAUAUCCUGGCGAGCAUGGGGACCCUGUGAACUGACAUUUGCGUACGUAUUGACGUGCACACGUGCAAGUGUAUGCCCUGGAGGAUGGCCGUGGUCCCACUGAGUGCUGGUCUGAGCUUUCCCACAGGUGGUUCCUACUGGUAUCUUCUGUGCUACCCAGCCACUGUUCCCUGGGAAGACUGGAGGCUAUGUCUCCUAUGCAUCCUGUCUCCACAACACGACAGGACAGAGGAGAUGCCUCAGAAAGACUUUCCCUCAGACUGAGGGAAAGAAGGAAGGAAGCCAGCGGAAGAGGCUGAUGUGGCUUCCUCAGGAUGACGGCAUCUCCGACCCUAAUCCUGUCCUGACACACCACCUGGAUUCCACCGAGCUCGUGAGAGAGAGUAUCCUAAGCUAGGAGUCUAGAAGCUCACCUCAGGAUUCUGCCGGACCCUCCUCCUCCAUGCCUCAGCUGUUAACAGGGCGGUGGUAAUGCUUGCCUGACAGACUUGUUACAGGUUGCCAGGAGGAAGAAGAGGAGCGUUGGUGAAGUCCACCGGUCUCUCUGAAGCCCCCUCAGUUCUGCUAAAGCAGGGAAAGGCCAAGCAAAGUGUGGGUGUCCGGAGAAAUCUGGGCUGGGUGUCAGCCAGGUUGCUAGACUUUGGAGCGCCUCGGGUAUCCGUAUCACCUGCACACCAUAGUACCCAGUCUUUGAAAGUCUAUGGUUGAGUCAAGUGCACUUGGAAACAGCUGUGGAUUCUCACCACUGACCCCAAAGCACACUCCCGGCUCCAGAAGGGAGCCCACUUCAUCGUGACUCAUUUCUUUCUCGGCUGCCCUGAUAACCGCCAAUCUGUUCUCCAUCUUUCCGGGUUUGCCUGUCCUGGACAAUGUAUACAGGAAACCACACACAUGUGACCUUUAUAACUGGAUUCUUGGACUUACUGGCAUGUGUUCAAGGUCUCUAGGUUUCUUUCAUGCCCUGUUACGGAUUGUACUUCACUCCAUUUUUAUGAGCAAAUAAUAUUCCAUUGUAUGGACAGACUGCUACUUUAUCAGCUGAGGAGCACUUGAGUACUUUCUACUCUUUGGCUGUUAUGAACGUCAUGGCCCUGAAAAUGUAUGAACAUUCUUUCAGUUCUGAGGGAAAAAUCCCAAAAAUCGUAAGACCCGCCUCCAAGCCUGCACAGAAGGCCCCAACAUCAUACAGUGCUCUAUCACACUAGCUUAGUCCAGGCUCUCUGUAUGUGCCCUGUGCCUUCUCAAACCCUUCUGUGCCUCACAUGCUCCAGGGUCCACUGAUUUCUUAGCUCUUUUAGACACACAAAGCACCUGUACAGCUAGCUAGCUUACAGCACUUACCUGGGCCCUAGAGGCUGGCUGCAGUGUGUUAGCCUAUUGCACAAGUGAGCUAGCGGAGUACAGAGGCGAUAAGAGAAUUGCCUAGAAGCACAGAGGUGACUUGGAUCUAAGACCUGCCAUCUCUUGCUGAGAGCGUAGGAGGGAGCCAGAAAGCCUUUGCUUCAGGACACAGAGCAUGCAGGACUGGCUUUGGAACUUUGGCACUCAGGAAUAGCUUUGGAACUUUAGUCCAGGUUACCUCCCUCAGGCUCUGCAUCGGCAGCCUCCUCACGCACUCCAGGGCAGGUGGACGGAGAUUUUCAUACAGGGAAAGUGGUUCAUGACCUACUUGUGCACCUAAAUUACUUGGCAGGAAAACAGGGUUUGGUUCAGUAGAUCUGGUGCUGGCCUUGAGUGUGAGUGCCUAUUCCUUGUGUGUGUGAAUGAAUGAAUGCAGAUGUGUACAUGUAUGUGUGCGCAUGCAUGUGUGGCUGGUUGGGUGGGCACGUGUGUGUAUGCAAGGCCUGAAGCAACUUCCCUGUAUCCUCCAUCCAGCCAGAUGAAUGGUUGAAGAAAAAGCUAUCUUAUCUGCCCUUGCAAUGUCCCGGGUGUGGGUUUGGCCUCCACAGAGUCUCAGUUAAAUUCUCUG